AAGGACACAAAUAUCCUUCAGGAGAACAUGUCAGAAUAGAAGAACAGGAAGCUUGGUGUCAGCGUCGAGUUCACAAUAAUGCCUUCAACAAGCUGGCGUGUUAACAGGUGCGGCCUCUAACCAAAGCCGUUCAUCACAAGAAAGUGACUCUCGGGCUACUGCUGGAAUUGAAUCACAGAAUCCGAGCUGAUCACAGUUCAAGAUGUUUUUUUUGCGGGGGCAGAGGUUUCUGCUGUGGUUCAAUAGGGAUCCAAUAGGGGUCCAGGAUCUGGACUUGAUAAAAAAAUUCAAAAUCGAAGAGGAUGCGGGGGGAGAAAGAAAGAGACUGCCGACACGUGACAGUGUGGGGACAUCGACAAAAGGGCGAAGACAGGCGACGGUUACUGGACCGAAAGGCUCCCUGUAGUCUGUAACGUUCUAGGUGUUAAAGUACAAGAAGAGGUCAGAGGUCGCUCAGCGUUCAUGUCAGGAAAUCUUUUUUUUCUUUUUUGUUUGACGGGUCGGAUGCACGAACCCAACAUGUCUCGCGGUUUCGCAAGUGCGGGUUUGAGGAACACUGCGUUUCUCCCCAGCACGCACGCGAGUCCGGGGGAGAAGAGAGCCGCGGCCGCUCGGAGCAACGCCGCCAGCGUGUAAUGAUCGCCGGGGAGACGCAGAGGAAAUGAGAAAAAAUAAUUUGACAAGGGCCCGAUGUUGCUGUGUUUCUUCCGUUCUAAUUGGCUGUAUGUUUUUGUG
ensembl:lncRNA